UACGGGGGGAGCAAGCGUUGUUCGGAUUUACUGGGCGUAAAGGGCGCGUAGGCGGCGUGACAAGUCACUUGUGAAAUCUCCGGGCUUAACUCGGAACGGUCAAGUGAUACUGUCGUGCUAGAGUACAGAAGGGGCUACUGGAAUUCUCGGUGUAGCGGUGAAAUGCGUAGAUAUCGAGAGGAACACCUGCGGCGAAGGCGGGUUGCUGGGCCGACACUGACGCUGAUGCGCGAAAGCCAGGGGAGCGAACGGG
rnacentral:rRNA from 1 species